rnacentral:rRNA from 1 species
UACGGAGGGGGCUAGCGUUGUUCGGAAUUACUGGGCGUAAAGCGCACGUAGGCGGAUUGUUAAGUCGGGGGUGAAAUCCUGGAGCUCAACUCCAGAACUGCCUUCGAUACUGGCGAUCUAGAGUCCGGGAGAGGUGAGUGGAACUGCGAGUGUAGAGGUGAAAUUCGUAGAUAUUCGCAAGAACACCAGUGGCGAAGGCGGCUCACUGGCCCGGUACUGACGCUGAGGUGCGAAAGCGUGGGGAGCAAACAGG